UUUGCAGUCAAUGUAACGACGUAAACUCCCUGUUUUGACUGUCAGUAAAGCUACCAAGCAUUGAAGGAAGGCAGCUAGCUAACUAACGUUAGUUGUUGGUGGCCCUUAUAACAAACCUGGUGAAAGCUAGCUAGCUGGAGCGAUGGUCGUGUCAAUUCACUGUUUGAUGGAGCCCUGCUGGACACGCCUGCUAGAGAGAGAUAGGGUUGACAGCCAGAGGCCAGAUGGCGUGCACCAGUAUUCCCGAGUCGUUUUAGUUGCCAUGGAGAGUGCAUGCCUUUGAUAUGGUUAACCGUUACCAUGGGGACUCCCUAUCACAAUGUACCUCAAGCAAUCUUUAAAUAUAUAUAUAUAUAUAUG